UUCCUCAAAUAUCAUGCUUUUGACGGGAUGUGGUAGCUCACUUGGUAAGGACCUUGUGGGCCAAUUGUCAUGCUCACGGGUUCGACGCCAAGCGGAGGCGAACUACCCAAUUCUGUCAUCAAAUGCGGUACUGGGUGUUGGGCCUUGUCCCCAGCCCAGGUAAAGCCCUCCCGGGUGAAGUGGACCGCUGCCUAACCGGGCCCAGGGGAAUGACCCACGUAAGUGGGGAACCCCUGGAUUAUCAAAAAAAAAAAAAAAAAAAAAAAAAAAAAACU